rnacentral:rRNA from 1 species
CCGACCUUGAAAUACCACCCUUUAAUGUUUGAUGUUCUAACGUUGACCCCUAAUCGGGGUUGCGGACAGUGUCUGGUGGGUAGUUUGACUGGGGCGGUCUCCUCCUAAAGAGUAACGGAGGAGCACGAAGGUUGGCUAAUCCUGGUCGGACAUCAGGAGGUUAGUGCAAUGGCAUAAGCCAGCUUGACUGCGAGCGUGACGGCGCGAGCAGGUGCGAAAGCAGGUCAUAGUGAUCCGGUGGUUCUGAAUGGAAGGGCCAUCGCUCAACGGAUAAAAGGUACUCCGGGGAUAACAGGCUGAUACCGCCCAAGAGUUCAUAUCGACGGCGGUGUUUGGCACCUCGAUGUCGGCUCAUCACAUCCUGGGGCUGAAGUAGGUCCCAAGGGUAUGGCUGUUCGCCAUUUAAAGUGGUACGCGAGCUGGGUUUAGAACGUCGUGAGACAGUUCGGUCCCUAUCUGCCGUGGGCGCUGGAGAACUGAGGGGGGCUGCUCCUAGUACGAGAGGACCGGAGUGGACGCAUCACUGGUGUUCGGGUUGUCAUGCCAAUGGCACUGCCCGGUAGCUAAAUGCGGAAGAGAUAAGUGCUGAAAGCAUCUAAGCACGAAACUUGCC